rnacentral:rRNA from 1 species
CCUACGGAGAGCAGCAGUGGGGAAUAUUGGGCAAUGGGCGCAAGCCUGACCCAGCAACGCCGCGUGAAGGAAGAAGGCUUUCGGGUUGUACACUUCUUUUCUCAGGGACGAAGCAAGUGACGGUACCUGAGGAAUAAGCCACGGCUAACUACGUGCCAGCAGCCGCGGUAAUACGUAGGUGGCAAGCGUUAUCAGGAUUUACUUGGUGUAAAGGGCGUGUAGGCGGGAAAGCAAGUCAGAUGUGAAAACUCAGGGCUCAACCCUGAGCCUGCAUUUGAAACUGUUUUUCUUGAGUGCUGGAGAGGCAAUCGGAAUUCCGGGUGUAGCGGUGAAAUGCGUAGAUAUACGGAGGAACACCAGUGGCGAAGGCGGAUUGCUGGACAGUAACUGACGCUGAGGCGCGAAAGCGUGGGGAGCAAACAGGAUUAGAUACCCUUGUAGUC